AUCCAGCUGACAAGUGAAAAAUAGGACGAAACGCGCAUCCUGGAU
rfam:Schistosoma haematobium scaffold970_2, whole genome shotgun sequence.